GUCUUGAAUUUAACAUAAGGAUGUAAUAUUUGCUUUUACAUUUACUAUCAUUCUAGUCAUAGAAAUUUAGUAUAGUUUAGUUACAAGUAAUUUAGUUGCUGCUGCUGUUGACAAUUUGUGGUAUCUAAAAGAUGGAAUACAUACUGUAGUCUUGAAAAAACUUUCAGAAAAUGGAUCUUGCAGGCAAAGGACACCAAGUGAAUUAGAUAGAGAGGUUAAGAACUUGAGGGUGGCAUUUACUGACCUGUUUUUGAAGCAUAACACUUUCAAAGAAACUGCAAAGCCAUCGAGAUAUUGAUGCCAAGAAUGGAAGAAUGUAUUUCACUAAUUUUUGUAUACAUUUCUUGUUUUGUAUUUGGUGAUAAAGGAAUCUGAAUUGGGCAUAAAUUAUGUUGUAAUAUGAUUUCUUAAGCCUAGACUAGUAGACUAAAUAUUGUAAUUACAUUUGAGUAAUUAAUAAAAAUCUAUUUAUGUUAA